CACCAUAAGAAAACCAUAACUCAGUUUCCAGGUCCGGUUGUGAACACCGAUGUACUGUAGGUGAGCCUACUACCUUUCACACAAGGACAGCCAUUACCGCCGAAAUGUGUGAAUGGCUAACAAAUCACCAGCUUACUUUCCUUUAGCUGCCAAUGUGAUGUGCCCUUAGAACAACCUCUCCCAAUCCAAAUACAUAAACAUCUUUAAGCCCCAUACUCUUUUCCUCAGCCAACUAUAAUAACUAAAGGCAUCCUAAAGUCGUACAGAAACUAACUAGGCAUCAAAUUAAACAUAGAAUGUCACCCUUGGCUAAUUGACUAUCAUAUGUUCCAGGGUACAAAAGGAGCUAAGCAAAUGCAAACAUCAAAGUAGAGUAGCUAAAAUGAUAUCAUUCAUUGAAGAAGAACAACAGCCACUAUAAAAGAAUUUACUGUUCCCAUUGUAUAAUUACUGGAGACAUCAAACUUCAAAUUUGUUUCCAUUUUUUUCUUAGGGAACUGUUCUUCAAUUUUCCAAUGUUAGUGAAUGCGUCUGAAAAGAAACCGCAAUCAAAAGUUACCUCAAAGGACGCAAACACAUAGUUACUAUCGGUGUGCUUACUGACCAUUCACACAAAGAUUACAGCCAUUACAGCUGCGAGGGUGUGACUGGCUAAUUGGCCACCGGCAUAAACUCUCUCAUAGCUCCGAUUUCGGAAGAGACCUUUAUCGAAAUAGCAAUGAAGUGAUAGCAUGAAGCUAAUACCUCGCUCCUCCCAUUGGAAGCCACCUUAUCCAAACGCUGUCGCAAAGCCCAAGUCUUCAGCCGCACUGCAUAACAACAGAGAAGGAAAGAAGUCAAGCAUUUCGCCUACCUCGUCUUGCUCAAGGUUCGCAGAUCCAGUUUCGCCAUCUCGGAACCCUAAGUGGCGAAAGACCAUGAUGACGGGGAUUGAUCGCCUGAAGGAACUCCUCGACGGUGGUGGCGGCGAGGAAGAUCGAAGGCCUCGUCUCCAUGUCGAAGGGAAAUUGGCCGGCGAAGGUCGAGAAGAGAGAUAGGGUUUCAAGCAUUCAUCGAGAGAUUCGAACCGUUGGAUGCUUCAGUCAGUAGACGUGUUGUCCAUCGGACGGGUGCUUAUGCGACGGAUAGAGGUCCGCAUACAACCGUUGUGCGGUCCCAUUCCCCCAAAUGGUCGACGGAUAAACCCUACGCCAGAUUAAAAUCAGAUGUGGUAGUCGAUAGAGGUCCGCUCUCUCCGCUGCCC
rnacentral:lncRNA from 1 species